GGUAAGUAAUAGCAAACUUGUCGAAAGGCAAGGACGCAAAGCCACGGGCCUGUCGUGCUGAUGAACGCGUGUUCUCAGACCACUAUGGCAGCCGGGUUUCCGGU
rnacentral:ncRNA from 1 species